CUCAAUGAAAUUCAAUAGCCGCAAUAUUGUGCUAAGGUAGCAUAAUCAUUUGUUUUUUAAUUAAAAACCAGAACGAAAGAUUUAAUAUUUUCAUUUCUAUCUUACAUAUAAAUAUUAAAUUUAUUUUAAAUAUUAAAAAAUAUUUAUCCUUUAAAAAGACGACAAGACCCUAUUGAACUUUACUAAAGUUUAACUGGGGCAGUAAAUUAAUUAAUAUUUUAAUUUCAAUUUUAAAACAAUCUAAUAUAAAUAAAUAAUCAAGUUACCAUAGGGAUAACAGCGUAAUAAUUUUCCAAAGAUCUUAUUUAAAAAUUAGUUUACGACCUCGAUGUUGAAUUAAUAAUCUAUUAAAUGCAAUAAUUAAAAAGAAAGUC
rnacentral:rRNA from 1 species